rnacentral:lncRNA from 1 species
ACCAUAUCUCCAACCCCACCCCCCAGCCCUACCAGUGCAGCUUUUUAGCAGACUAAUAAAAAAAGUAUCGUCUGGAAAUCCUUGAAGAGAUUCUGGGUCAGGAGGUUGUGGCAUGACGUGGCAUCCAAGCGGCUAAGGAGAAUGAAGCAGAAGGACUGGUGGUUAUUUGAGGCCAGCCAGGGCUACAGGAUCUUUGUAACAUUUCGGGUCCUGAUCUCCCCCACACCCUGUGAGCAACUGUCAAACUACAUUAGAGGCCACUCUGAAGACUGACCGACCAGGGACAGUUGCAGUCUGAGAACCUGGAGGUUAAUUCCUCAACACAUAGAGGGAUAUAGUCUUUAAUGAUCACAUUGCUAAUUUUAGUAUUUAAGGCUUACUUGGAAAUAAUCAUAUCCCUUCACAUAUUCAUCUGCUAAUCAUCUAUGUAGAUAAAAAGCUAAGAGAAAAAU